UACGUAGGGUGCGAGUGUUAAUCGGAAUUACUGGGCGUAAAGCGUGCGCAGGCGGUUCGUUGUGUCUGAUGUGAAAGCCCCGGGCUCAACCUGGGAAUGGCAUUGGAAACUGGCGAGCUAGAGUGUGGCAGAGGGGGGUGGAAUUCCGCGUGUAGCAGUGAAAUGCGUAGAGAUGUGGAGGAACACCGAUGGCGAAGGCAGCCCCCUGGGUCGACACUGACGCUCAUGCACGAAAGCGUGGGGAGCAAACAGG
rnacentral:rRNA from 1 species